rnacentral:tRNA from 1 species
CUGUUGGUGGUUCAGUGGUAGAAUUCUUGCCUUCUAUGCAGAAGACCCGUGUUCAAUUCCCAGCCAAUGCA